GAAUUCGAUUGCGGAUCCGGCGGGCCGCUGCAGACCUGGUCGAUCCUGCCGGACCCGACUGCUAUCAGAGUGGGACUAAGCCAUGCGAGUCAACAUAGCAAUAUGUGGCAUACGGCUCAGUAACACGUAGUCAACAUGCCCAGGGGACGUGGAUAACCUCGGGAAACUGAGGAUAAACCGCGAUAAGUCACUACUUCUGGAAUGGGUAAUGACUCAAAUCUAUAUGGCCCCUGGAUUGGACUGCGGCCGAUCAGGCUGUUGGUGAGGUAAUGGCCCACCAAACCUGUAACCGGUACGGGCUCUGAGAGGAGGAGCCCGGAGGUGGGCACUGAGACAAGGGCCCAGGCCCUAUGGGGCGCAGCAGGCGCGAAACCUCUGCAAUAGGCGAAAGCUUGACAGGGUUACUCUGAGUGAUUUCCGUUAAGGAAAUCUUUUGGCACCUCUAAAAAUGGUGCAGAAUAAGGGGUGGGCAAGUCUGGUGUCAGCCGCCGCGGUAAUACCAGCACCCCGAGUGGUCGGGACGUUUAUUGGGCCUAAAGCAUCCGUAGCCGGUUCUACAAGUCUUCCGUUAAAUCCAGCUGCUUAACAGGUGGGCUGCGGAAGAUACUAUAGAGCUAGGAGGCGGGAGAGGCAAGCGGUACUCGAUGGGUAGGGGUAAAAUCCGUUGAUCCAUUGAAGACCACCAGUGGCGAAGGCGGCUUGCCAGAACGCGCUCGACGGUGAGGGAUGAAAGCUGGGGGAGCAAACCGGAUUAGAUACCCGGGUAGUCCCAGCUGUAAACGAUGCAGACUCGGUGAUGAGUUGGCUAUAUGCCAACUCAGUGCCGCAGGGAAGCCGUUAAGUUUGCCGCCUGGGGGAGUACGGUCGCAAGA
rnacentral:rRNA from 1 species